CUACGGGAGGCACCAGUCGAGAAUCUUCCGCAAUGGACGAAAGUCUGACGGAGCGACGCCGCGUGCGGGAUGAAGGCCUUCGGGUUGUAAACCGCUGUCAGUGGGGAGGAAAUGCAUCAGGGUUCUCCCUGGUGUUUGACCGAUCCGCAGAGGAAGCGCAGGCUAAGUUCGUGCCAGCAGCCGCGGUAACACGAACUGCGCGAACGUUAUUCGGAAUCACUGGGCUUAAAGAGUUCGUAGGCGGCCUUUCAAGUCGGGUGUGAAAUCCUUCGGCUCAACCGAGGAAUUGCGCCUGAUACUGUUGGGCUUGAGGGGGAUAGGGGUGAGCGGAACUGAUGGUGGAGCGGUGAAAUGCGUUGAUAUCAUCAGGAACACCGGUGGCGAAGGCGGCUCACUGGAUCUCUUCUGACGCUGAGGAACGAAAGCUAGGGGAGCGAACGGGAUUAGAUACCCGUGUAGUC
rnacentral:rRNA from 1 species